UGGGGAAUCUUAGACAAUGGGGGCAACCCUGAUCUAGCCAUGCCGCGUGAUCGAUGAAGGCCUUAGGGUUGUAAAGAUCUUUCAGUUGGGAAGAUAAUGACGGUACCAACAGAAGAAGCCCCGGCUAACUCCGUGCCAGCAGCCGCGGUAAUACGGAGGGGGCUAGCGUUAUUCGGAAUUACUGGGCGUAAAGCGCACGUAGGCGGAUCAGAAAGUCAGAGGUGAAGUCCCAGGGCUCAACCUUGGAACUGCCUUUGAAACUUCUGGUCUUGAGGUCGAGAGAGGUGAGUGGAAUUCCGAGUGUAGAGGUGAAAUUCGUAGAUAUUCGGAGGAACACCAGUGGCGAAGGCGGCUCACUGGCUCGAUACUGACGCUGAGGUACGAAAGCGUGGGGAGCAAA
rnacentral:rRNA from 1 species